UCUAUGGCGGUCCCAACGACCGUCCGGGUCGCGGAGCGGGAUGAGCGCGGGCGCCGACGGCGGCGGCGGCGGCGGCGCUGGGACCGAGGCGCGGUCCCGAGGGGCCAGUCCAGGAGCGGAUGACUUCGUACCGUCGGCGUUGGGGACCCGAGAGCAUUGGGAUGCUGUCUAUGAGAGAGAACUGCAAACUUUCCAAGAAUGUGGAGAUACAGGAGAAAUAUGGUUUGGAGAAGAGAGUAUGAACCGACUAAUAAGGUGGAUGCAAAAACACAAGAUUCCUUUGGAUGCUUCAGUACUUGAUAUUGGAACUGGAAAUGGUGUUUUCCUGGUUGAACUUGCAAAACUUGGUUUCUCUAAUAUUACUGGAAUUGAUUACUCUCCUUCUGCAAUACAGCUUUCUGGAAGUAUUAUAGAAAAAGAAGGUUUAUCUAACAUUAAGUUGAAGGUAGAAGACUUUUUGAAUCUUUCCACAAAACUGACUGGAUUUCAUAUUUGUAUUGACAAGGGGACUUUUGAUGCCAUAAGCCUUAAUCCUGACAAUGCACUUGAGAAGAGGAAACAAUAUGUGAAAUCUCUCUCCCGGGUGUUGAAAGUGAAAGGCUUUUUUCUAAUAACCUCAUGUAAUUGGACCAAGGAAGAGUUGCUAAAUGAAUUUAGUGAAGGAUUUCAACUUUUCGAAGAGCUGCCAACACCCAAGUUCAGCUUUGGAGGCAGAUCUGGAAACAGUGUAGCAGCAUUGGUUUUCCAAAAAACGUGAGACUGUUCAUUGGACAAAUUCAGUUAGCUUUUUUAAGAAGCUCUACAUCAAAGUAAACCUGACACAGAAAAUGCGAGUGCAAAUAAAUGCUUAUAAGCUUGGCUGCCAUAGACUGGGUGGCUUAAACAGCAGAAAUUUAUUUUUCACAGUCUGGAGACUGGGAAUUCCAAGAUCAAGGUGCUGGCAAGGUAGGUUUCAUUCUGAGGCCUCUUCUCUUGGCUUGUAGGCAGCUGUCAUCUCUCUGUAUGUUCACUUGACCUCUUUUUGCAUGCUUGUGGGGAGAGAGUGAGCGUGCGUGAGCAUGUUCUCUAGUGUCUCUUGUUAUAAAGGCACUAAUCCCAUCAUGAGGACCCCACCCUCAUGGCUUCAUCUAACCCUCGUUACCUCCCAAAGGCCCAUCUCCAAAUACCAUCACUAGGGGUUAGGGGUUCAACAUAUGAAUUUUGGGGAGACACAAAUGUUCAGUCCAUAAUAACCGCUGAAGUUGAUUUAAGGGUUCAGAGAAAGGCCUACAAAAUAGGUUUCUACUAUAUAUGGGAAGUUUAAAUACUUCAUUAGUUAAAUAUCAAUUGUUAGGUUACUUGAUGGUUCUUUUAAACCAAGGUAUCUAUUCAUGUAUGUGAAAAAAUAUAUGUACAUAUAAUAAAACAUUUGAAGCAAUCGCAUGAGUAUUUUUCAAUCUAAAAACAUCUUUAGAUUUGAGUAUUGUCUCUGAUAUAUAUUUGAUAAUUCUGUUUGUAUUCAUUUGACCGUAGAGAUGUUUUAUCCAAGAAACUCAGAAAGUUACAUCUAAUUGUUUAGUCCACUUUGAUUUUAUUUAUAGAAAUAUUGAGAUCAAGAUUGAGCAUAAGCAAAAUUGGGUAAUCUGAAGGAUCUCCCUAGUUUGAUUCUUCCCUACUCUAAACACAUAGAAACUACACACUCACAGAUGACCUAAUUUACCACUCUAAAGUCCCAGGGCUUUGAAACUUCUUUCUCAUGCUACACAGAGACCCAUGCUUGGGUAUGGUACCUGCGUCUGCCCUUCUUUAUGCCUUGUACCUCUCUGGGCUACUGUCAGUCUAUAACUGUUUACCCCCUCAGUGAAAUUGAAGUAUGUUAAAGGUGCUAGCAAAGUGCCUAAUGAGUAGUAGAUACUUAUUUAAAGUUGGUUUUUCUUCAGUACAUUUCUCUGAAGCAGUUUCAUAUGGUGGAGAGAGAAGCACUUGUGACUCUACAUAAUAGGGUUGUGAAUAUUAAAUAAGAAAAAUAACUAAUGCAGCUUAGCAUGAUUCCUAGCGUACAGCAAUGCCAAAUAAAUAUUCUUUUCUCCAAGGACCCUUCUUCCCAUUGGAGCUAAUGUAUUGAAUUGUUCAGGAUUUUAAUCCUCACUGCCACUGAGUUAAUGUAUUCAGUUCAUUGUAAGGUGCUUGUAUUCCAGGAGUGAUUAGAUGAGUGAAGAGAGGAGGAUGAGUGGUAGAUAAGUAAGAGGGAAAGUUCAGAACUUCUUAAAAAAUCAUACCGUGUAGCUCCUUUUUCCUUAGUCGCUAGAUAGGGCUGGUGCUGAAGCACCUUUUCAUUUAGUUAAGAAAUGAGGACCAUACACCAGAUGCCAGAUUUUCACAAAAUGUCCUUUCUGAUGCGUUUCAGCAGACUUUAAAAUACCCCUCAGAUUUAAGAUAGUUAUCUGUUAAAGUGGUAAUUAUUUAGUAAUGUAUGUCAGCGUGAUGGGGAAAAUAUUAAUGAGGGUGCCUUUGAAUUGAAAACAAAUGGUCACAGAUAUAGUGCACCUUCCUUCAUUAGAUCUGAAUGCUGAGGCAUUGUUUCCAGUGAUAUCAAAGAAGAGAACAGAGAGCAGGUGCCCCAAUGACCAUGCAUUGGGUUUUAAUGAAAGUUGUUGAGUUGGAUUUGGGUCUUUUACUGGGUAUUGAGGAAACAGUAGACUAAGAUUUUACCAUUGAUUUCCACCUUGCCUCAUCUAGAUUUGAUAUCUUUCAUCAGUGAGUCAUGUUUGUUUUCCUUGCUAUAAAGUUGAGUUAAAAGUGCCAUUCACAGUGGCAUUUUAAAGUUUGAUGUUGGGUAAUACUUUAAAUAGUUGAUCUGAUUUGUCCUUAGUUUAUACUAGAACUGACAGUAUAGUAUGUAAAGUACAGUGAAUUAGUUGUUUAUGCUAGUCUAAAAAAAAUGUCUUUUUCAGAUUUGUUGAUUUAACCUUUUUAUGGAUGGUUAAGUGAAUAUCUAUCCCAGUGCCUGGAGUGCUUAGUAUGACUAUAGAAAUGCUGGCCAGAGCAGUCGCACUUUCUCUAGUUAACCUAGUUUCUCUAGUUUAAGUCUUUAACCAUUUUCAAAAAGUUCUCCAGAGAUGAGGUUAAUAUAUGAUAUGAUGUACAUUCUUAGGACAGAACAUAAAGCUUCAUUACUUUAUUUAUUUAAAAGAUUUUUAUUUUUCCUUUUUCUCCCCAAAGCUCCCCAGUACAUAAUUGUGUAUUUUUAGUUGUGGGUCCUUCUAGUUGUGGCAUGUGGGAUGCUGCCUCAGCAUGGCUUGACAAGCGGUGCCAUAUCCGCAUCCAGGAUUCGAACUGGUGAAACCCUGGGCCGCUGAAGCAGAGCACGCGAACUUAACCACUCAGGUACGCGGCCCCUAAGCUUCACUACUUAAAUUAGGUAGUUUACCAGUACAAUGAUUGAAUAACCUGGUUUUGAUCAAGGUUUUUGUUUUUUUGGUUCCUUAUGAGAGUUAACAGGAGCUGUAAGUAGUAUUUAAAAUUGCAAGCCAAGUCCUCAUUCAUAUCACUUCUUUUCUAGAUUCAGGUCAGCUGCAGGAUAUGCACAUACAAAACAGGCAAGGCUAGUCCCUCUUACAAAUAGUGAUAGGUAUAAUAAAACGAAACAGCCUUGCUUUUGAUUAAUAUAGAAGAUUGACAGACUGCUGAGGAGAGUUAAGAAAUACACAGGCUAGUAUAGUGUGUAGGGCGAAUGUUCUUUUCAUCCUGCUCCCAGGAAUGUUCUGGCCAUUGGAGCCAGAGACUAAUUUUUUUUCUUGAUAUUUUAAAUGUAAAGGAUUCAGUCUUUAGAUUUUAAACUCUGUGAAAUCAGAAACUGUGUAGUUUCACAGUUUCCUCUCUCCCUAAUGCAAAUGAAAUUUACUCAGUUUCAUUUCUGUGGGGAUAGUCAGGAUAGCAGUAGCUUUGAGCAUAUCACUAGCGAUGAGUUAAAAAUAGAUUUUUCUUGAGGCAGUGACUUAUAUGGCAGAUAGUUGACAGAAGAGAAAAAUUAAGUUAAAUUUUGGGCUUGUGUCUCAGAUACUAAAUCUGAAUUCCACUAAAGAAUAUUUAAGAAAAAAAUUGAAAUUUUCAUUUCAAGAUGAGAAACGUUGAGUCUUGGUGUGCUGUUGAAAUAUUUUCUAGAUUAAAUUCAAUAUAACAAUAUGAAAUAUUGUAAUUUGGUUUUAGCUGUUUUUGGUGGAGUAACUAAGGCAAACUAGGUUAUGGAUGACUAUGUUAUAGUGAUACUAAUUAGAAUCUACUUCAGCUAAGAUCAUAAAUAGAUGAGGGAAAAGCCAGGAAUUAAUUAUGCUUUUGAAUCUUAGUAUUCAAAUAGUAAAAUAGGUUUGGUAAGUUUUACAUAUGCCAGUAACUUUGAAUGUAGAUAGUGAAAAGCCUUCAUUCUACUUAUUUUUGCUUAUUUGCCAUGCAUAAACUUUUCAUUGUCUAUUUUUUCAUGCUUGUGUUUUCUUAUAGCACAUAACACCAACAGCUACUAUUAACUUUGUGGGAAAAAAACCACCAAAAACAAAGUAAACUCAAAUUGAAAUAAGUUUUAACUGUUGCUCUGUUCUUUUUAGCUUACUUUACCCAGAGCUCUUCCAUCCAAUGAGUUGCAAGCGUGACAUUUGCUGUGUUUUCAGCACCUGCCAACUUGGAAACCAGGGUUUGUGCUCAGGACUUAGGCUUACAACCCGUACUUUGUGGUGCACAAUGCCGUCCCAGCUGGCAUGCUUCGUACCUCAAUGGUGCUAGACGUUUGGUUACAAAGCUGUGCAGAUUCACAUGCACUAAUUUCAAUAGGCAUUCCCCUUCAAGCUGCUUUCAACUCUCAUUUUGUAUCAAAGGAGUUAGAUUGGUAUCAUUAAAUUCACUGCUGUGGUUAUUUUUCAAUGAAAAUAAAUUUGUUUUAUUUA